rnacentral:piRNA from 1 species
UUAGGCAGGCACUGAAACCAAGGG